rnacentral:rRNA from 1 species
GAUGAACGCUAGCUACAGGCUUAACACAUGCAAGUCGAGGGACCGGCGCACGGGUGAGUAACACGUAUCCAACCUGCCCUUUACUCGGGGAUAGCCUUUCGCAAGAAAGAUUAAUACCCGAUAUAAAGGAUGGGGAUGCGUUCCAUUAGUUUGUUGGUGAGGUAACGGCUCACCAAGCCUUCGAUGGAUAGGGGUUCUGAGAGGAAGGUCACCCACAGUGGAACUGAGGCACGGUCCAAACUGGGAGGGGAGGCAGGAGAGAGGAAUAUUGGUGAAUGGGCGCUAGCCUGAACCAGCCAAGUAGCGGGAAGGAGGAAGGGGUAGGGGUCGUAAACUUCUGUUAGAGAAGAAUAUGUAUUAGAUGAAUAAGGAUCGGCUAACUCCGUGCCAGCAGCCGCGGUAAUAC